rnacentral:rRNA from 1 species
AUACGGAGGGUGCAAGCGUUAUUCGGAAUCACUGGGCUUAAAGGACGCGUAGGCGGGUUGGCAAGUCAGAUGUGAAAUCCUACAGCUUAACUGUAGAACUGCAUUUGAAACUGCUAACCUAGAGUAUGGGAGGGGGAGAUGGAAUUAGUGGUGUAGGGGUAAAAUCCGUAGAUAUCUCUAGGAAUACCGAAAGCGAAGGCGAUCUCCUGGAACAUAACUGACGCUAAGGCGUGAAAGCGUGGGGAGCAAACAGGAUUAGAUACCCUAGUAGUCC